UGGAGAUGCACCUGUGCAUGGGGUGGUGUGCGGUGUAGAUGCAUUCGUGUUUGGGAUGUAGUAGCACGGUGCUGGAUUACGGUCCUAGAGAUAAACUGAUGAACAAGAAAGCAAAGUCCUUCCUUCCAUGCAGAGACAGACAACAAGCAAGGAGCCAAACAGGAUAAUGUUGGACAGUAAUUCCUUACAAUGAAGGACAUGAACAAGUGUUAAUUCGAAUGGCAGCUUCUGGGAUGGGACUUAAACACUCUGCAGUUUCUGACCUCUGUGGAAUUUGAAAAGCCAAAGGUCUAGUAAAGUAAAAAUUAG